rfam:Candidatus Daviesbacteria bacterium RIFCSPLOWO2_01_FTLL_39_12 rifcsplowo2_01_scaffold_201, whole genome shotgun sequence.
UCCCCUGUAGCUCAAUGGUAGAGCGAGAUCCUGUUAAGAUCGAGGUUCGUGGUUCGAAUCCACGCGGGGGAG